CUUCACUGUGUGCAAGGUGAGGACGCAGGUCUGGAGAGAAGAGAGACAUGCGCAAGGCCCCGGGGCUGGAACUUCAGGUGCCCCGUGCUCCCCUGCCCCCCAUCCCAACUCAGUUAUGUGGCCCAAGCCUUCUUCCUGGCCUGCACCCGCAGACACACCAGGUUUUUCCCAGGAGCCAGACGCCGGCCCUCCCACUGCAGAGGGCAGGCCCAGAGCCCGGGCCUGGUGCUCAGCCAGGGUCUGUGGGAACUAGCUGCGGGGCUGUGGAGAAGCCCUCACCACCUCGGGCCUCCAUUUUCCUCAUCUGAAAAUCAGGAGCACAACUGCCUACCUUCUGGUUCAGAUAAAACUUUGAAAGAGAUUUUUAAAAAAUUC